rnacentral:rRNA from 1 species
GACGAACGCUGGCGGCGUGCUUAACACAUGCAAGUCGAACGGAAAGGCCCUGCUUGCAGGGUACUCGAGUGGCGAACGGGUGAGUAACACGUGGGUGAUCUGCCCUGCACUUCGGGAUAAGCCUGGGAAACUGGGUCUAAUACCGGAUAGGAGCCAUUUUUAGUGUGAUGGUUGGGAAGUUUUUUCGGUGUAGGAUGAGCUCGCGGCCUAUCAGCUUGUUGGUGGGGUAAUGGCCUACCAAGGCGGCGACGGGUAGCCGGCCUGAGAGGGUGGACGGCCACAUGGGGACUGAGAUACGGCCCAGACUCCUACGGGGGGCAGAAGGGGGGAAUAUUGCACAAGGGGCGCAAGCCUGAUGCAGCGACGCCGCGUGGGGGAUGACGGCCUUCGGGUUGUAAACCCCUUUCGCUAGGGACGAAGCUUUUUGGGACGGUACCUAGAUAAGAAGCACCGGCGAACUACGU